CAACUAUCAAUUUUCUCUUCUCACAAAAAAGCAAUGCCUUGUGCCAACAAUGCAUCCGGCUUCUUCGAUCAUCUUGAGGAUGAUACCGCCGUGGACAUUGCCCACGAUGUUUGCAUCGUUUGGCCUCAUGAUUCUGCAGUAAAGAUAAGAUUAUUUAGCAUGUGGAUCUCAUGCUGCCUGUGUCCACCUGCUCGCCUGAUCUGCAUUUGACUAAUCAGGGUGAGGCAAGGCAAGGACGUAUUUCCCUGUGCCUAGGACUACUACACCCCUGGAAACUCUGCCUGUUGCCUCGCUCAGCCCCUACCCUGCCUGGAAUUCACAUUCACCUGUCUGCCACUUCCUGGUCUGCCACUCUGCUCUGCUCUGCUCUCAAUAAAACGUGUUUGACCGUU